AGCCACGGCUAACUACGUGCCAGCAGCCGCGGUAAUACGUAGGUGGCAAGCGUUAUCCGGAAUUAUUGGGCGUAAAGCGCGCGUAGGCGGUUUUUUAAGUCUGAUGUGAAAGCCCACGGCUCAACCGUGGAGGGUCAUUGGAAACUGGAAAACUUGAGUGCAGAAGAGGAAAGUGGAAUUCCAUGUGUAGCGGUGAAAUGCGCAGAGAUAUGGAGGAACACCAGUGGCGAAGGCGGCUUUCUGGUCUGCAACUGACGCUGAUGUGCGAAAGCGUGGGGAUCAAACAGGAUUAGAUACCCUGGUAGUCCACGCCGUAAACGAUGAGUGCUAAGUGUU
rnacentral:rRNA from 1 species